UUCAAUUUUUGGACUUCGGCUGAACAGUUUCAGUAAACCAAGGUAACUAACUUCCAGUGCAGCCGCACUUCCCCCAUCACUGAGCCACCAAUGACGAGACUGUGUGGACAGCAGAGGAGGGCAAAGUAUCCUAGCGACAGCUCAAUCAAGGCCUGUCAGAAUCAGGUGAGAAAGCACGUGAUUUUAUGUUUGUUUUUUUCAUUUUCGUGGCGUUCUUUUGUUUAUUAGAAUGAAAUGAUCCAUGGAAGCUUCUUGCCAGGACAAAAUUAUGUCUUCACAAUGUUAUAAACUAUCAAACCUAGAAAAUAUAUUUUAUGGGCAAAAACCUGACCUCUAGCAUAUACCUAGUAGACUUUUCCACUAGCUAUGCUAGUAUUUGAUAAUGACACAAUACCAAAAUCUCAACAAGAUGAAAAAUAAAACUUUAUUGCUUCAUUCUGAAUAAACAUUAUUUUACAGGUGUGUCCUGGCACUUUUCAUUUUACAUAUAUUUAUAUGAAUAGCGACAGGGUGAUUGGGAUUUUGUCAGGGAGUGCAUUUGCAUCAAAAAUAUAUAUAUAUAUUUUUUUUAGGUUGGAAAAGAAGUUAAUGUCAAUAAAGUAAAAAACAAA